rnacentral:rRNA from 1 species
CCUACGGGUGGCAGCAGUAGGGAAUAUUGCUCAAUGGGGGAAACCCUGAAGCAGCAACGCCGCGUGGAGGAUGACGGUUUUAGGAUUGUAAACUCCUUUUGUUAGAGAAGAUUAUGACGGUAUCUAACGAAUAAGCACCGGGUAACUCCGUGCCAGCCGCCGGGGUAAUACGGGGGGUGCAAGCUUUACUCGGAAUAACUGGGCUUAAAGAGUGCGUAGGCGGGGUAAUAAGUCAGAUGUGAAAUCUUGGAGCUGAACUACAGAUCUGCAUUUGAAACUGUUACUCUGGAGAGUGGGAGAGGUAGGUGGAAUUCGUGGUGUAGGGGUAAAAUCCGUAGAGAUCAAGAGGAAUACUCAUAGCGAAGGCGACCUGCUGGAACAUUACUGACGCUGAUGCACGAAAGCGUGGGGAGCAAACAGGAUUAGAUACCCUUGUAGUC